CCCGUACCGUAAACCGACACAGGUGGAUGAGGAGAGAAUCCUAAGGCCGGCGGGAGAAGCAUUGUUAAGGAACUCGGCAAAAUGACCCCGUAACUUCGGGAGAAGGGGUGCCUGCGAGAGCAGGCCGCAGAGAAUAGGCUCAAGCAACUGUUUAGCAAAAACACAGGUCUAUGCGAAACCGAAAGGUGAGGUAUAUGGGCUGACGCCUGCCCGGUGCUGGAAGGUUAAGGGGAGUGGUCAGGAAACGAAGCCACGAACUUAAGCCCCAGUAAACGGCGGCCGUAACUAUAACGGUCCUAAGGUAGCGAAAUUCCUUGUCGGGUAAGUUCCGACCCGCACGAAAGGCGUAAUGAUUUGAGCGCUGUCUCGACAAUGCAUCCGGUGAAAUUGAAGUACCAGUGAAGAUGCUGGUUACCUGCGCCAGGACGGAAAGACCCCAUGGAGCUUUACUCCAGCUUGAUACUGGGAUCCGAUGCUGUAUGUACAGGAUAGGUGGGAGGCUGAGAAGCGGUGACGCCAGUUGCCGCAGAGCCGAUGUUGGGAUACCACCCUUGCAGUAUUGGAUUUCUAACCAGCUGCCGUGACCCGGCAGUGGGACAAUGUCUGGCGGGGAGUUUGACUGGGGCGGUCGCCUCCGAAAGGGUAUCGGAGGCGCUCAAAGGUUCCCUCAGAAUGGUUGGAAACCAUUCGAAGAGUGCAAAGGCAGAAGGGAGCUUGACUGCGACACCGACGGGUGGAGCAGGUACGAAAGUAGGACUUAGUGAUCCGGUGGUAUGAAAGUGGGAUUGCCAUCGCUCAACGGAUAAAAGCUACCCUGGGGAUAACAGGCUUAUCACUCCCAAGAGUUCACAUCGACGGAGUGGUUUGGCACCUCGAUGUCGGCUCAUCGCAUCCUGGAGCUGUAGCAGGUUCCAAGGGUUGGGCUGUUCGCCCAUUAAAGCGGUACGCGAGCUGGGUUCAGAACGUCGUGAGACAGUUCGGUCCCUAUCCGGCGCGGGCGGAGGAUAUUUGAGAGGAGCUGUCCUUAGUACGAGAGGACCGGGAUGGACGGACCACUGGUGUAUCUGUUGGCUAUCGGAGCCAUGGCAGAGUAGCCAAGUCCGGCAGGGAUAAACGCUGAAGGCAUCUAAGCGUGAAGCCCCCCUCAAGAUGAGUUAUCCCAAUAAGUAAGACCCCUUAGAGAGUAUGAGGUAGAUAGGUUUGAGGUGGAAGUGCAGUAAUGCAUGGAGCUGACAAAUACUAAUCGGUCGAGGGCUUAUCCUG
rnacentral:rRNA from 1 species